UUUGUGAAACAAACAAAGAAAUUUCAAUAUAUAUUGUUAAAUUGUAUUUACCAUUUGGUACAUACUCCCCGUGCGUUCGAAAAUAUCCAAUAUUGGCAAUAGCCAAUAAUCGAUAUGAAUGCAGAAUUCGGCUAUAAAACUGAUAGUAAAACUUCUACUCAAACAUCUGAUAAUGCUUAAUUCAUUUCUGUAUGUAAUAUUGUAAUAAUUGGGUGAUUGAUUUUAAAUUAAGGUAAUUGAUCAAGGCUCAUGCGUUAUAUUUUCCAAGUCGACGUCCUGCAUAUUAUACCUAUAUUCUAGAUUAUACUGACUGUAUUAUUAAAUAGCAGCUAUUUGUCAUUAUGUCCCGUUAGUAUAUGUGGAUAAAAUUGUAUCUAGUUCUGUAAAUGUGAAAACUCUUCAGACUUCACGUUGGAAUACUACAAGGGGAUAGCAAUUAGGUAGUCUAUACAGACUAUGAUAAUACAGAACAUGUAUGUAAUAUUUUCUGAUCGAAAAGAAAUGCACAAUUGCCGGUAUGACUAUAAAUUAGCGGCCUGCAGACCACAGAUUUCCUAUUUUUGUGUCGAUCUUCAUUAUUGUUGUCUGAAAUAUGCCAAAAUAUCCACAUAUUUUCCCGUCAUUAGAUCAAGCUAUUUUCUGAAAUUUGAUGCUCAGAUUGCUGCAAAUGGCAUUUCUGGGGUGUAUAUUUCAAAAAUUUUCCGGGGGGGCAUGCUCCCGGACCCCCCUAGGAUGUCUCACGCCUUCGGCGCUCGUUUGCAUGACCACUCACACGAAGCUAGCUUCGCCACUGAUUUUAGCAAAGAAUGACUGUAAUUUUAAAAAUUAAAUAUGCAUAUCAAAAACAAUAGUUUUUAUUAGAACAACACAUAAUCAGGGCCUUUUUUAAGGAUUUUCCCGUGGGGGGGCAUUUUUUGAAAAGGGACUUUUCUGUGAUAUAAUAUAUUAGAAGGGGAUAGCAAUGGCUGAAGCCUGAAGGCUACGUGUGUCGCCAAUAUAUCACUCAUGAAUGGGGGGUGGUCUGGGGGAGUAUUCCCCCAGAAAAUUUUUUGAAAUUUGAAUCCCGGAAAUGUCAUUUCCUGCAUUCUGAGCAUCCAAAUUUGCUCCAAAAUUUAUGCUAACUAUACUUGUAUCUGAAAUAAAUAAAGGGAAAAACGCACAAAAAUUUAAAAAAAUUAACCAUCAUUUAUCAUUACUUAUUAGAGGGAUAAUCCCCAGAAAAUUUUUGAAAUUUGAAUCCCGGAAAUGUCAUUUCCUGCAUUCUGAGCAUCCAAAUUUGCUCCAAAAUUUAUGCUAACUAUACUUGUAUUUGAAAUAAAUAAAGGAAAAAACGCACAAAAAGUUAAAAAAAAUUAACCAUCAUUUAUCAUUACUUAUUAGAGGGAUAAUCCCAAGAAAAUUUUUGAAAUUUGAAACCCGGAAAUGCUAUUUCCUGCAUUCUGAGCAUCCAAAAAAUAAAAAAAUUAUUAACAAUAAUCUAUCAUUACUUAGUGGUAUAAAAAAGUAACAAUUUAAAUCGAUUUUGUUAAACAAGGACAAAGGAUAACGCCUAAAACUUACUUUCCGUUUAUGUAUUUGUUAAUCUUCGCUGGUUUGUUUCUAUAAUUUUAGGGAAAAGGGACUUUUCCUGGGGGGGCAAAAUGUGAUUUCGUGGGGGGGCACAAGGGGGGACUGGGGGGGCAUUUGCCCCCCCAGCUUGUAUGUUAAAAAAGGCCCUGCACAUAAUAAGUUGUUAUUUUCUAUUUUUACAAAAACAAGUUUGGAAACAGAAUCUAGUCGUCCAGUUUGAUGUCAUAUUCUAUUUAUUUGGAUAUUUGAAUAAAGGAAUGUGAAAUAAUAAUUGAAACUUGUCCAAAAUUUGAUACCAACACUCAAGUGAACAGAUACUAU
rnacentral:lncRNA from 1 species